rnacentral:rRNA from 1 species
UACGGAAGGCAGCAGUGGGGAAUAUUGCACAAUGGGCGAAAGCCUGAUGCAGCUAUGCCGCGUGUAUGAAGAAGGCCUUAGGGUUGUAAAGUACUUUUCAUCGGGGAGGAAAAAACAAAAACUAAUAAUUUUAUUUUCUUUGACGUUACCCGAAAAAGAAGCACCGGCUAACUCCGUGCCAGCAGCCGCGGUAAUACGGAGGGGUGCUAGCGUUAAUCAGAAUUACUGGGCGUAAAGAGCACGUAGGUGGCUUUUUUAAGUUCAGAUGUGAAAUCCCCUGGGCUUAACCUGGAACUGCAUUUUGAAACUGAAAUACUAGAGUAUCGUAGAGGGAGGUAGAAUUCUAGGUGUAGCGGUGAAAUGCGUAGAUAUCUGGAGGAAUACCUGUGGCGAAAGCGGCCUCCUAAACGAAUACUGACACUGAGGUGCGAAAGCGUGGGGAGCAAACAGGGAUUUAGAUACC